AACGAACGCUGGCGGCAUGCCUAACACAUGCAAGUCGAACGAAGUCUUCGGACUUAGUGGCGCACGGGUGCGUAACGCGUGGGAAUCUGCCCUUGGGUGCGGAAUAACUUCUCGAAAGGGAUGCUAAUACCGCAUAAUGUCGUAAGACCAAAGAUUUAUCGCCCAAGGAUGAGCCCGCGUAAGAUUAGCUAGUUGGUGGGGUAAAAGCCUAACCAAGGCGACGAUCUUUAGCUGGUCUGAGAGGAUGAUCAGCCACACUGGGACUGAGACACGGCCCAGACUCCUACGGGAGGCAACAGUGGGGAAUAUUGGACAAUGGGCGAAAGCCUGAUCCAGCAAUGCCGCGUGAGUGAUGAAGGCCCUAGGGUUGUAAAGCUCUUUUACCAGGGAUGAUAAUGACAGUACCUGG
rnacentral:rRNA from 1 species